GUUCAUUCAGGAAAUUUUGAUGCUUUUCCUGUUAGUGUAGAUCUUCUGCCUAAUUCAUCAAAGGUGAUAACCUUAUCUGGAAUCCCGACUUCUGUGGGGUCAGUAACAAUUCCAGGGUGUACUGUUCACUGUUUUGGUGUUAUUUCUGAACACCUUUUCGGGGAUGUUGAUAAUCUGCUUCUUGGUGCAGCACAAGGGCUUGUGCUUUCUGAUCCUUUCAGAUGUUGUGGGUCUCCAAGGCUGAGAAAUGUGUUGGUUCCAAAUAUUUCUGUUGUACCUCCAAUUCCAUUAUUAGUUUCUCAUGUUGUAGGUGGUGAUGGGACAAUAGUCUUGUAUGAAGGUGAAAUACGUGAUGUCUGGAUUAGUCUGGCUAAUGCAGGCACAGUUCCAGUUGAGCAAGCACAUAUCUCACUCUCCGGUAAAAACCAAGAUUCUGUAGUUUCAAUACCAUAUGACACCUUAAAGUCUGCACUUCCUUUAAAGCCUGGUGCAGAAGUAAUCCUACCUGUGACAUUGAAGGCCUGGCAACAUGGACCAGUGGACCCUGAUAUUACUGGUAGUAAGCUUGCCUCUGGAAGUGUGGGGAGGCAGUUAAAAGACGGUAGCAGCCCCACUUUGUUGAUUCAUUAUGCUGGCCCAACGACAGAUGCUGGAAAU
rnacentral:misc_RNA from 1 species